CAUUAAGCACAUCUACCAAGAAAACGUGCUAAAGUCUGACGUGAAGAAUAAGUUCAUCAUCAGAAGAAGGGGUUGAAACGAACAAGAAAUAUCGUCUUCAUAAAAGUUGGCCAUUAAGCACAUCUACCAAGAAAACGUGCUAAAGUCUGACGUGAAGAAUAAGUUCAUCAUCAGAAGAAGGGGUUGAAACGAACAAGAAAUAUCGUCUUCAUAAAAGUUGGCCAUUAAGCACAUCUACCAAGAAAACGUGCUAAAGUCUGACGUGAAGAAUAAGUUCAUCAUCAGAAGAAGGGGUUGAAACGAACAAGAAAUAUCGUCUUCAUAAAAGUUGGCCAUUAAGCACAUCUACCAAGAAAACGUGCUAAAGUCUGACGUGAAGAAUAAGUUCAUCAUCAG